GACGUAGGGUGCGAGCGUUAUCCGGAUUUACUGGGCGUAAGGCGUUUCGUAGGCGGUCUUAAAAGUCGCGCCUUAAAUCCUAGGGCUCAACCUUAGGGCUGGGUGCGAUACUUUAAGACUAGAGGAUUUUGGGGGGUGCUGGAAUUCGCGGUGUAGCAGUGAAAUGCGUUGAUAUCGCGAGGAACACCAAGGGCGAAGGCAAACACCUAAGGAAUUCCUGACGCUGAGGAACGAAAGCUAGGGGAGCGAACGGG
rnacentral:rRNA from 1 species